rnacentral:rRNA from 1 species
CAGCAGCCACGGGAAUACGGAGGGUGCAAGCGUUAAUCGGAAUUACUGGGCGUAAAGCGCACGCAGGCGGUCUGUUAAGUCAGAUGUGAAAUCCCCGGGCUCAACCCGGGAACUGCAUUUGAAACUGGCAGGCUUGAGUCUUGUAGAGGGGGGUAGAAUUCCACGUGUAGCAGUGAAAUGCGUAGAGAUGUGGAGGAAUACCGAUGGCGAAGGCAGCCCCCUGGGCCAAUACUGACGCUCAUGCACGAAAGCGUGGGGAGCAAACAGGAUUAGAUACCCCUGUAGUCCCUGUCUCUUAUAC